UCUUAGGUUUGCCUCUACUCCCAACAGCUGUC
rnacentral:piRNA from 1 species